rnacentral:rRNA from 1 species
CGAUAACGAACGAGACUCUGGCCUAUUAAACUUGACGCUGUCAGUCUCUUGUGACUGCGGCGCGCUUCUUAGAGGGAUCAUCGGCGUCCCAGCCGAAGGAAAGGGAGCAAUAACAGGUCUGUGAUGCCCUUAGAUGUUCUGGGCUGCACGCGUGUUACACUGAAGUGGUCAGCGCGCCGUUCAACACCCCUCUCCGUGAGGAGCUUGGGCAAACGUUUGAACCCUUUUCGUGAUGGGAAUUGGGGGUUGCAAUUGUCCCCCAUGAACGAGGAAUUCCAAGUAAGCGCAGGUCACUAGCCUGCGUUGAUUAAGUCCCUGCCCUUUGUACACACCGCCCGUCGCUACUACCGAUGGAUGAUUUGGUGAGGUCGCCUAGACUGGCUGCUGGCUUCGGCCGUGCGGCCGGGAAGACGCCCAAACUUGGUCGUCUAGAGGAAGUAAAAGUCGUAACAAGGUUUCCGUAGGUGAA